GGGUUCAUGGCCUAAUGGUAAGGCGUCAGAUUUCGGUCAUAUUUCCUGUUCUCUGAAGAUUGCAGGUUCGAUCCCUGCUGAGCUCG